rnacentral:rRNA from 1 species
UACGUAGGGGGCAAGCGUUGUCCGGAUUUAUUGGGCGUAAAGAGCGUGUAGGCGGCCAUGUAGGUCCGUUGUGAAAACUCGAGGCUCAACCUCGAGACGCCGAUGGAAACCACCUAGCUAGAGUCCGGAAGAGGAGAACGGAAUUCCCAGUGUAGCGGUGAAAUGCGCAGAUAUUGGGAAGAACACCAGUGGCGAAGGCGGUUCUCUGGGACGGUACUGACGCUGAGACGCGAAAGCGUGGGGAGCGAACAGG